GUUCCAGGCAGCAGCCCCAGCAAAGGUCUCAAUCAACCACCAUAUGUGUGAGUGAAGGAACCUUCAGAUAAUUUUGCUUCCCAGACUUCAAGUCUUUCAGCUGGGGUCCAAGACAUCACAAGGCAGAGACAAGCCCUCCUGGAAUUCCCCACCCACCGUGAGCAUAAGAAAACUGUGAGCAUAAGAAAAGUGAAAGCGGUGUAAAUGGCUCUUAUCUGAACCACAAUGAAUUCACAUAUUCAAGUUGGCUUCUUCGGAAAUUUCAGGCCACAAAUGGCAGUGAUGCGACCAGGAGCAGUAACACGUGCCACUUCCAUCCGGACAGAAGGAACCCAGGUCAAGGCUGACAGGAGGAGCAGGAGCCGUCAAUGAGAGCAGACCUCAGAAGCCAACGGAGGUGAGAAGAGCACCAUCCACAGCCCCAUCCUCUGAAUGCUGUGGGAAGAAGUCCACAAAAUACCACCCCUUGGAGUCAGUCAGUAGUAGAGCCCUUGCUGCUGGCUGCAAAUACCCCAUCAGAACAUGUUUGGGGUGAUUCUUGGACCUGGUUUCAAUUUCUUUUCUGCCAGUCAGCAGUUGUGCUUGACUCACAAUUUGUUGCCAUCUCUUGAAUUAAACUCAGGAAACAGGAUAAAGAUCAGAACCACAUUGUAAAAGCUUCCUUAUGGUUCAUUUUUUGCUGAGAUAAAUAAUGAGCAGCUCUGAUCCAUGUCUCUGGAGAGCUCAGAGCACACUACCAGGAGCUCCUAGCCACAGGGUGAGCACAGGU
rnacentral:lncRNA from 10 species